rnacentral:rRNA from 1 species
UAAUGCAAAGGAGCGUUAGGUUCUAGUUGACGAAGAAGGGCGAUAAUGAAAUCGAAAAUUAUUAGAAUAUUAAUAAUGAUAAUAAAUACCCUAAUUUAAAUAUUUAAAGAUAACUCCUUGGAUUUAAGCAUAUGAGU